GCUGCUUGUUUGGAGGGUGUGCUGUAUAGCUGGAGAUCUCCUUUAGUCUUCUUCACCAGCUGGGUGUCAUAUCUAUGAAGACUUCAGAAAAGAAAUACAUGAGCAAAGUUACUACAAUUCAUGUGGGUAGGAGAGAGAAGUGAUUUGCAGCGGAUUACACUGAAAACACUCCAGGUCUCAUUGAGCUCUGAGGUCACAGUUAUUUACCUGAUAAGCAGAUUUUAGCCCAGCACGGAAGUGAGGAAGAAUACAAACAAACAAAGCCUAGAGAAAGUUAAGAUCUAUGUAACUAAUGAACUCAUCACAGGGUAAUAACCAUAUACAGGAUUCCAAUAUUAUGCAAAUACAUCUGAACAAUCGCAGAUCAGAUUUCAGAUGGAAGAUGCUAAACUGAAGAAUUUAGCAACAAAACAGAGUCAUUACUUCUAUUGCAGAGGAAACCAAGAACUUAGCUCACAGGUCUGCAUCAAUAUAAUUCAUGUCAAUCAUUUUGCUUGAGGAAAGCAGACUUCAGUGUGAAUCAUUUUUACUGAUGAUUACACAAGCAUUCCUCCCAAGAGUAGGAGAGUCUCCCCCACAACUUCACUCGUUGCACCAUAGUGCACUAUACGCAAAUGGUCCUCUAGUAUUGCAUCAGUAUUUUCCUGCACCAAUUUAUAUUUAUUGAAAACUGUUUACCUCUAAGUCAUCUUGCUUAGUUCUACAGAUCAAAUCAGACAAGAUCUGACCAGAUGACCUUUCCUUUUCAGUAGAAACAUUUGAUUCUUCAUGCAAAACUACUGUUUAUAUUCUAGCAGUCUCCCCAGGAUUGGUCAACUGGCAAGGCAGCAUCCAUGUGACUCAGAAAGAGCUGACAAUGUUAGUGGAAAUUAUAGCAUGGAGAUUUU
rnacentral:lncRNA from 1 species